GCUGGGCACGAUGGCACAUGCCUGUCAUCCCAGCGACUUGGGAGGCUGAGUCCGGAGGAUUGCGAGUUCAAAGCCAGCCUCAGCAAGGGCAAGGUGCUGAGCAACUCAGUGAGACCUUGUCUCUA
rnacentral:sRNA from 1 species